rnacentral:rRNA from 1 species
CCUACGGGCGGCAGCAGUGGGGAAUAUUGCACAAUGGGGGAAACCCUGAUGCAGCGACGCCGCGUGAGUGAAGAAGUAUUUCGGUAUGUAAAGCUCUAUCAGCAGGGAAGAAAAUGACGGUACCUGAUUAAGAAGCACCGGCUAACUACGUGCCAGCAGCCGCGGUAAUACGUAGGGGGCCAGCGUUAUUCGGAUUUACUGGGUGUAAAGGGGGCGUAGACGGCAGCACAAGUCUGGAGUGAAAUGCCGGGGCUUAACCCCGGAACUGCUUUGGAAACUGUGCAGCUAGAGUGCAGGAGAGGUAAGUGGAAUGCCUAGUGUAGCGGUGAAAUGCGUAGAUAUUAGGAGGAACACCAGUGGCGAAGGCAGCUUACUGGACUGUAACUGACGUUGAGGCUCGAAAGCGUGGGGAGCAAACAGGAUUAGAUACCCCGGUAGUC